rnacentral:rRNA from 1 species
AGUGAGGAAUAUUGCGCAAUGGGGGAAACCCUGACGCAGCGACGCCGCGUGGAUGAUGAAGGCCUUCGGGUCGUAAAAUCCUGUCAGAAGGGAAGAAGUUGUUUGUAGUUAAUACCUGCAUUCAUUGACGGUACCUUCAAAGGAAGCACCGGCUAACUCCGUGCCAGCAGCCGCGGUAAUACGGAGGGUGCAAGCGUUGUUCGGAAUUACUGGGCGUAAAGCGCGCGUAGGCGGCUAUUUAAGUCAGAUGUGAAAGCCCAUGGCUCAACCAUGGACGUGCAUUUGAAACUGGAUAGCUUGAGUAUCAGAGGGGAUAGUGGAAUUCCCGGUGUAGAGGUGAAAUUCGUAGAUAUCGGGAGGAAUACCGGUGGCGAAGGCGACUAUCUGGCUGAAUACUGACGCUGAGGUGCGAAAGCGUGGGGAGCAAA